rnacentral:rRNA from 1 species
GACGAACGCUGGCGGCGUGCUUAACACAUGCAAGUCGAACGAAAAGAGGGAAAGAGCUUGCUCUUUCCGGAAUUGAGUGGCAAACGGGUGAGUAACACGUAAACAACCUGCCUUCAGGAUGGGGACAACAGACGGAAACGACUGCUAAUACCGAAUAAGUUCCAAGAGCCACAUGGCCCAUGGAAGAAAAGGUGGCCUCUACCUGUAAGCUAUCGCCUGAAGAGGGGUUUGCGUCUGAUUAGCUGGUUGGAGGGGUAACGGCCCACCAAGGCGACGAUCAGUAGCCGGUCUGAGAGGAUGAACGGCCACACUGGAACUGAGACACGGUCCAGACUCCUACGGGAGGCAGCAGUGGGGAAUCUUCCGCAAUGGGCGAAAGCCUGACGGAGCAACGCCGCGUGAGUGAUGACGGCCUUCGGGUUGUAAAACUCUGUGAUCCGGGACGAAAAGGCAGAGUGCGAAGAACAAACUGCAUUGACGGUACCGGAAAAGCAAGCCACGGCUAACUACGUG